AGAAUGAAUACAGAGUUAUAAGUACAAUCUCAAAAAAAGGUAGGCAGAGUGGAUUUGCUGAACAGCAUCCAUCCGCUUAUACGUCCGUGACAUAAAGUAGUUCAUGAUUUGCACUUAAAUCGCUUUAAGCAUACGCUAAGCGAUGACUUAUCCGUCCCAAUGUUGCAAAAAAUUAUGUUAAAGUUUUUUCUACCCGAAAAUCAUGCACUUUAUUCAUGUUUGACAUCUAAAAACAUCGAUAAAAAUUUCCUGUAUUUCUACGCUACAAAUUAUUAUUAACGCAUGCGCAGACUCACAAUAAUUUAUCGAAGAGAACAACACGCAAGAGAAAUUGCUCAGGAAAGAAUCAACAACCAUCGCACAUAUUGUUGACUGUAACCUUUUUGUCGUGGGUAUUGUAGCGGAUAUUCCUUGUGACGGAAAUAAAAGAUUAUUUACUUUAAUAUUCACUUGGAAAGGCUGGUACAUGUAGCUAGAAAAAGUACAGUAUAAGAUUAAAGAAAGACUAGAAGAUUAUUACAAACAACAGGUGGACAUGUGUCACUGUCAAGCGAAUGAAGAUAAGCAUCACACUCGGUGGGAAUCUCCAGUUUCCAGAUGUAGUGAUCAUAACUGUAUAGGCACCAUUAACACUUUGGACUAGUUGGAGUAUUUUAGAGGGCUAGUCUGAAUUGAAUCCCCUGUCAAUAGUCAAGGCCAGUCAUGAACAUUGUGUUGAAGGAAAAUGUUAAAACUCGGAUUUUCCGCUUAACCAAUCAUUACUUUACCUUAUAUUCAGUGCGGUAAUGUAGGAAAUGGUUACUUUCUGGAACAGAGCUGUCAAUUAUUUUUAAUUUAUUAGCUUGUUAGUGUUAUCGUCGGACAGUUGUGAAGUAAAAACAUCAUAGUUUGACUGUAUACAAGUUGCCUUAAAGAAAGUAUGUCGAAAUCUUAACAGUUAUUCGUUGAUUUUGUAGAAAUUGACUAGAAUUCACCUUUGUUAACAUGCAUCGCUUGGACGUCGAAAACGACAUGCAAUGACAUUUCAGUGAAAUUUGGAAAACUUGCUCGUAUUUUGGAGCAUUUUGUAGGAUUUCGAUGAAGUAAAAAGUGUUUAUGAUAGGAUACAUUAUUCCUAGAGACAACCAUAAAGAUAAAAUAGUGAUCUGGUGUAUUUUACCGAACAGUUCUUGUUUGUUUUGCAUGAUAUUUUUCUCUCGUUAGGGACCUUUAUUCUUUAUAUAUAGUAUUAUGAGCAUAUAUAUGGGUAAAUGUGGUAUAUAGUGCCUGUGGUUUUAACAUGUAUCUUAGCUUGCCUGGUGUAAUGAUAAGUAAUAAACCUGAGAAUUGAAACUAUGAGAAUAAA